rnacentral:rRNA from 1 species
GAUGAACGCUGGCGGCGUGCCUAAUACAUGCAAGUCGAGCGAACGGACGAGAAGCUUGCUUCUCUGAUGUUAGCGGCGGACGGGUGAGUAACACGUGGAUAACCUACCUAUAAGACUGGGAUAACUUCGGGAAACCGUAGCUAAUACCGGAUAAUAUUUUGAACCGCAUGGUUCAAAAGUGAAAGACGGUCUUGCUGUCACUUAUAGAUUGAUCCGCGCUGCAUUAGCUAGUUGGUAAGGUAACGGCUUACCAAGGCAACGAUGCAUAGCCGACCUGAGGGGGUGAUCGGCCACACUGGAACUGAGACACGGUCCAGACUCCUACGGGAGGCAGCAGUAGGGAAUCUUCCGCAAUGGGCGAAAGCCUGACGGAGCAACGCCGCGUGAGUGAUGAAGGUCUUCGGAUCGUAAAACUCUGUUAUUAGGGAAGAACAUAUGUGUAAGUAACUGUGCACAUCUUGACGGUACCUAAUCAGAAAGCCACGGCUAACUACGUG